CCAAUCUGGAAAUGCCAACUCCGCUCUGCGGCCGGGCCCCAGCCUAGAAGGAAACGGAAGUCCCUUCGUCUCCCGCAGGCGCACCCACCAGCCCGCCCAUCGCCCGGAGGAGCCCCGAGUCGGGGAACCCGAGGUGUGUCUGACCAUUACCUGGUCUCCUGACUGGCCUCUCUAUCCCUAGGACUGGUCCCCUGCAGUACAGCCUGCACAAGGCCAUAUUGAUUGACUGAUUUAUCAGAGAGAGAGAACCAACGUGCACAAGCAGGGGGAGUGGCAGGCAGAGGGAGAAGCAAACUCCCUGCUGAGCAAGGAGCCCGAUGCAGGACUCAAUCCCAGGACCUUGGGAUCAUGACCUGAGCUGAAGGCAGACGCCCAACUGACUGAGCCACCCAGAAAGAGAGAGCACAAGCUGGGAGAGCAGCAGAGGAAGAGGGAGAAGGAGGCUCCCCGCUAAGCAGGAAGCCUGAUGUGGGGCUCAACCUCAGGACCCUGGGACCAUGACCUGAGCUGAAGGCAGACACUUAACCAGCUGAGCCACCCAGAGAGCCAUCUGGCAAAAAAACUGAGGACCUCAGUCCAACAGCCAGCGAGGAACUGAAUCCUGCCAAAAACCAUGUGACUGAUCUUGGACAUGGAUCCUGUCCCAGCUGAGCCUUGAGAUAAGACUGCAGCCCCAGCUGAUAAUUGAUGGCAGCCUGUGAGAGACCCUGAGUGGACACAUUUAUGGAAAUCCUGAGAGAUUGUUAAGUAGAUGACUCAGUUAGGCCAUGCUAUUCCUGACCCGUAGAAACAGUGAGAUCAUAAAUGUGUGUUGCUUAAGCUAAGUUUUAUUUUUUUUAAAGGUGGAAUUCAAGAUUAAAAGCACUAAACAAUACAAAAAGGGGCAUAAAUUGUUCGGUCUUUAAUGAAGAGAUGAGCCAUAAACCUUUAUGUACUAAAUUGUUACAGCAGCUUAAGAUUUAAAACAAAACUCUUAGAAACACAAGAAGAUUUUGAUAAAAACCACAACCAUAAUGGGAGAUUAUAAUAUACUUCCUUCAAGGGCGCCUGGGUGGCUCAGUUGGUUAGGCGACUGCCUUCGGAUCAGGUCAUGGUCCCAGGGUCCUGGGAUCGAGUCCCGCAUCGGGCUCCCUGCUCUGCGGGGAGCCUGCUUCUCCCUCUCCCACUCCCCCUGCUUGUGUUCCCCCUCUCGCUGUGUCUCUCUCUGUCAAAUAAAUAAAUAAAACCUUUAAAAAAAAAAUAUAUAUAUAUAUAUAUAUAUACUUCCUUCAAAACUUAACUGAUCAAGUACACAAGAAAUAAGCUAGAAAAUAGAUAAUUUGGAGGCACCUGGAUAGCUCAGUCUUUUGAGCGACUAACUCUUGGUUUUGGCUCAGGUCAUGAUCUCAGGGUCAUGGGAUUGAGCCCCCUGUUGGGCUCCACGUUCAGCGAAGAGUUGGCUUGGGAUUCUCUCUCCUUCUUCUUCUGCCCCUCCCCCCUGCUCGUGCUUGCUAAGUAAGUAAGUAAGUAAAUAAAUAAAUAAAUAAAAUCUUAAAAAAAGAAAA